rnacentral:rRNA from 1 species
UAGGGAAUCUUCGGCAAUGGACGGAAGUCUGAACGAGCAACGCCGCGUGAGUGAAGAAGGUUCUCGGAGCGUAAAGCUCCGUUGGUAGAGAAGAACGUUGGUAGGAGUGGAAAAUCUACCAAGUGACGGUAACUAACCAGAAAGGGACGGCUAACUACGUGCCAGCAGCCGCGGUAAUACGUAGGUUGCGAGCGUUGUACGGAUUUAUUGGGCGUAAAGCGAGCGCAGGCGGUUCUGUAAGUCUGAAGUUAAAGGCAGUGGCUUAACCAUUGUACGCUUUGGAAACUGGAGGACUUGAGUGCAGAAGGGGAGAGUGGAAUUCCAUGUGUAGCGGUGAAAUGCGUAGAUAUAUGGAGGAACACCGGUGGCAAAAGCGGCUCUCUGGUCUGUAACUGACGCUGAGGCUCGAAAGCGUGGGGAGCAAACAGG